rnacentral:rRNA from 1 species
CCGUUUCCCAUAAGGCUGAGCUGUGAUGGCGAGCGAAAUAUAGUAGCGAAGUUCCUGAUUCCACACUGCCAAGAAAAGCCUCUAGCGAGGUGAGAGGUGCCCGUACCGCAAACCGACACAGGUAGGCGAGGAGAGAAUCCUAAGGUGAUCGAGAGAACUCUCGUUAAGGAACUCGGCAAAAUGACCCCGUAACUUCGGGAGAAGGGGUGCUCUGUUAGGGUGCAAGCCCGAGAGAGCCGCAGUGAAUAGGCCCAGGCGACUGUUUAGCAAAAACACAGGUCUCUGCGAAGCCGUAAGGCGAAGUAUAGGGGCUGACGCCUGCCCGGUGCUGGAAGGUUAAGAGGAGCGCUUAGCGUAAGCGAAGGUGCGAAUUGAAGCCCCAGUAAACGGCGGCCGUAACAAUAACGGUCCUAAGGUAGCGAAAUUCCUUGUCGGGUAAGUUCCGACCCGCACGAAAGGCGCAACGAUCUGGGCACUGUCUCAACGAGAGACUCGGUGAAAUUAUAGUACCUGUGAAGAUGCAGGUUACCCGCGACAGGACGGAAAGACCCCGUGGAGCUUUACUGCAGCCUGAUAUUGAAUGUUGGUACAGCUUGUACAGGAUAGGUAGGAGCCUUGGAAACCGGAGCGCCAGCUUCGGUGGAGGCAUCGGUGGGAUACUACCCUGGCUGUAUUGACCUUCUAACCCGCCGCCCUUAUCGGGCGGGGAGACAGUGUCAGGUGGGCAGUUUGACUGGGGCGGUCGCCUCCUAAAAGGUAACGGAGGCGCCCAAAGGUUCCCUCAGAAUGGUUGGAAAUCAUUCGCAGAGUGUAAAGGCACAAGGGAGCUUGACUGCGAGACCUACAAGUCGAGCAGGGACGAAAGUCGGGCUUAGUGAUCCGGUGGUUCCGCAUGGAAGGGCCAUCGCUCAACGGAUAAAAGCUACCCCGGGGAUAACAGGCUUAUCUCCCCCAAGAGUCCACAUCGACGGGGAGGUUUGGCACCUCGAUGUCGGCUCAUCGCAUCCUGGGGCUGUAGUCGGUCCCAAGGGUUGGGCUGUUCGCCCAUUAAAGCGGUACGCGAGCUGGGUUCAGAACGUCGUGAGACAGUUCGGUCCCUAUCCGUCGCGGGCGCAGGAAAUUUGAGAGGAGCUGUCCUUAGUACGAGAGGACCGGGAUGGACGCACCGCUGGUGUACCAGUUGUUCUGCCAAGGGCAUCGCUGGGUAGCUAUGUGCGGACGGGAUAAGUGCUGAAAGCAUCUAAGCAUGAAGCCCCCCUCAAGAUGAGAUUUCCCAUUCCGCAAGGAAGUAAGAUCCCUGAAAGAUGAUCAGGUUGAUAGGUCUGAGGUGGAAGUGUGGCGACACAUGGAGCUGACAGAUACUAAUCGAUCGAGGACUCUCCCGC